UUUUUUUUUUUUUUUUGGUUGGUUUUUUUUUUUUUUUGUCUUUUCUGAAAUAAGGGCUCUCCCAUAGCUUUAUCCCAGUGCAACAGAAAAUCCCUAUUUGAGGAUGGAGCCAACAUCCUUCCCAUCCUUGAUGGAUGGAGCCAAUGCAAAAACAAGAUCCAAAGCACUGUCCUCAACACCUUUGGGAACAGCAGAAAUCCAGGGCAGAGAGCUAUAGGCAGAUCUCCCUCUGCACCCAGCGACCCCAAUUUGAUACAAAAAAAUUAAAAAGUGAAAUUUCUCAGCUCCUCUCUCCUGACCUUUCCAGAAGAAGUCUGUGUACUAAUUAGCAAGUAAUAAUGUGACGAGGCUGCAAUUCCUCAUUAGUGCACACAAAAUUCCCAGCUACAUGACUGAUAUGCAUCUACAAGAAAAUUAACUUCAGCGCAAGGGCUUCAUAAUCAAGAUUUAUGAGGAAACUGGCAAAGUGCAGCACGUGUCUCUAGCUCUCUGCUCUGCCCGUCCUCCCCAACCUUCUGUCAGGAGUCAGAUGACCCCAUCGUGGGCUUUUUUGUGGAGGAUAUUCCUUGCCAAAACAAGUCCUCAUUGAGUCUGUACAAGAUCUGAUUUUUUCCUGUUGGCUGAAAAACUCAAUGAAGCGUAUUGAGGAUCGCAGCAGGUUCCCAUCAUGCACCAUCCCUCAUGAUGGAAAAUGCCCAUAUGCAGGUGAAAUAAAGGAAUUCUGGUGAGGCUGGAUGGGGACUCUGAGCAACUGACCAAGCUGUAGGUGUGCCUGUUCCUUGCAAAUCCCUACUCCAUCCCUGUGGAUUUUCAGGUUGGGUAUUAGAAAAAAAAAUUAUUCUCCAAAAGACUGGCAAGGCAUCAGUAUAGGCUGCCCAGAGAGAUGGUGGGUUCACCAUCGCUGGAGGUGUUCAGUGUGGAGAUGUGGCACUGAUGGACAUAGUGGGCAUGGGGGGAUGGUGUACAGUAACUGCCGAAUCACAGCCUAAGCCACUGAUUGAGCACCUGGGAAAAGGAACCAGUCAGCCCUGGGAGAACAGGUGAAGGCAAUGCAGCUGUGGGACAGGACAGGUUGGAGCCUGGCUGCACCUUAGAUCCCAUUUAAGGGCUGACUGCCACUGGGAAAGGAUCUCUGGUUGGCAAUCCCUCCCUUGUGGAGUCUUUCCUGGGAGCUGAGAUCUUCAGAGAUGGGUGAGCACCUUUACUGUUUCUUUGAAAUACCAUCCUGUUUGUGUUGGUUCCGUUGCUGUUACACUCCUGUAUUGCCCUUUCACCACGUUAAUCUUUCCUACAAAUGGGAGUAACAAAUGGGCUGGGGUGCUCCCAUUGGGAAGAAGUGCAGUGGAGAGGAUUUAGGCAUUGGGAUGCUGCAGAUGUGGUUGCAGCAUUGGCGCCAAUUUCUCAGACUGUACCCAUUUUCAAAUAAUCCAAUUUUCUCUACAGAAAGGAAGAUUUAUCUCAAUUUAUGGACCCGGAACUUGUUCUCAAUAGAAUUGUCUCAGCAGGAGAAUCCACCCAUUCUUCCCAGCCCUGACUGCUGCUUUGCUCAUGACCCUUGCUGGCAUUUCUCCCUCAAAAAUAGAAACCCAGGCAGUCAAAAAGCAAAGAAACAUCACCAUGGGAUAACCCAACACACUGCGUUUAACCCCAAAUGUUUUGCUUUGCUGUGAUAGCAAAAGGUCUUGCUAUUUUCAUCCCUUUUUAACAAUAAAAAGCCACCGUAAAAUGAAACAGCAGCGUUCCCAAAUCACAGCUCAUCCAGACUCAAGUUUUCCUUAAAGCCAUCAUUUUCAUUUGUUCAAACCCACCUUGGGCUCAGCACGACCCUGCAAGCAGCUAUUUCUGUUUCCAAGGAGCCCUGCCCUCCCACUGCAUUCAUUUCUAGCAUUUUAUUUAGCACCAAAUGCUUUCAACUGAUCCCGCUCUGGCCAGGUAGCACCAAGUCCCAGGAGGGAAUUAAAGCAAUUUCCUCAAUGCUUUUAUUUUUUCUUCUGACAGCGAGAGCAAAAGGGCUGUAUCAUGUCAGCAAGGAGCUUUUCACAGCAUGCGUGUUUUAAUUAUUACAUAUAAUUAAUAUGCUAUAAUUAACAUACUCCACCGUUGAUGCAACAGGGCAGAAGCAAAGCACUAAGCACCCAAACCCACAGGUGCUCUUGCACAUGUUGGAGACGCUACAUCAAAGUGCUCUUAGCCCUAAAUCUUUAAGGGGAUAUAUAUUUCAUAACCCAAAAUAUUCAGGUAUUAUUCCCAAAAUAUUACAAUAUUACAGACUCCAAAAUAUUCAGGUAUGAUUCAAGCCAGUUCCAGCACUAUGGAUAAUUCCCAAGAUUGGUGUUUGUGCUGUAAUUAUUCAUAUAAAUCUGUGCCAGUGGCUAAUGCUGUUAAGAAGUCCUUAUUUCCCCACUCUGGUGUAAUCACAACCAUAGCUGUUUGCUUUCAUUAGAUUAUCGCUCUCCCCAAUGUGCUUUUUUUGCCGUAUACAUUUUGCACACACACUGCAUGCAAAAAUUAAUAUAUAUUAAAAAAUAAAAAUAAAGAAGGCAACUGGGAUGUGUUCAGGGAGAUCUUUGCAUCCAGUAUGCAUGGCUCAGUGAGGCCAAUCCUGCUCCAUUUAAAGGACAGAAAACACACUGCAGCCACCUGUUUGGACUCCCUCCCAGCUGACACCAGUGCAAACCAGUUUGUGAUGCUGGUUGCUGCUACACUGCAAUUUCUUACAUAUAAGCACCAAAAAAUGGAUCCUAUCAUUCAUUAUAUGCUCAUAGGAGAGGAAGAAAUGUCCAUUUGAUAAGAUGAAAUCCAGCAUGUACGUCCCCAUCUGUUCAGCCCCAUCUCUUCCCCUGAGCCCAUGAAUCAGUGUUAAGGCCAGAUUUGUUGUUUUCCACCAAAAUAAAGAUCUGGGGAAUGGCAAAAAAAAAAAAAAAAAAAA
ensembl:lncRNA